rnacentral:rRNA from 1 species
AACGAACGCUGGCGGCAGGCUUAACACAUGCAAGUCGAACGCAUCCUUCGGGGUGAGUGGCAGACGGGUGAGUAACGCGUGGGAACGUGCCCUUCAGUUCGGGAUAACCCAGGGAAACUUGGGCUAAUACCGGAUACGUGCGAGAGCAGAAAGAUUUAUCGCUGAAGGAUAGGCCCGCGUCUGAUUAACUAGUUGGUGGGGUAAUGGCCCACCAAGGCGACGAUCAGUAGCUGGUCUGAGAGGAUGAUCAGCCACAUUGGGACUGAGACACGGCCCAAACUCCUACGGGAGGCAGCAGUGGGGAAUAUUGGACAAUGGGCGCAAGCCUGAUCCAGCCAUGCCGCGUGAGUGAUGAAGGCCUUAGGGUUGUAAAGCUCUUUCGUCCGGGACGAUAAUGACGGUACCGGAAGAAGAAGCCCCGGCUAACUUCGUGCCAGCAGCCGCCGUAA